AUGGACGUCAGUUUGGCCCUCUUUCCGAAGCUUCUGGUUGUGUGGGGGAGAACUCAACAGUGUGUGUACAUUUGUGUAUGUGCAAGAGGAUGUGUGUUUGAGACUACUGUGUUUGUGUGUGUGUGUGUGUGUGUGUGUGUGUGUAUAGGAGACAGAGGAGAGGAACAUGCCCUUCCUGGGUAUAAACCAGCUGCUACGGAUCGGAAGCCUGACACAUCUUUGCUGUUCAGAUGCCAGGUCAUAGCAGGCAAGAUGAGAAGGGCACUGUAUUUGCAGAGCUGCACCCAGGAGAUCUUGGAGGAGAUGUUCUGUGGCUUCAACUCUUCUAAUUCCCUUGACAAUGAUUGGGUGCUCCAGGCAAACAAGGAGCAGUGCUGUUCUGAGGUGAGAAUGGGAAGAGGGUACUCCACAGAGAGAUGGCCCCCAACAAAUAUAGAGAGAAACCUGGAGCCCUCCCGUAGUGGUUACACACGAGUGCUGCACAGGCCCAACCGCAAAGAGACCUGGACCUCCACCCCUAACCUCCGGCUACAUCUGAGGUAUAAAACACUGUUCUCCUAG
rnacentral:lncRNA from 12 species